AGAACAGGGCCAGGGCAGGAGGGACAGACCCAGAACAGAGCCAGGACAGGAGGGACAGACCCAGAACAGGGCCAGGACAGGAGGGACAGACCCAGAACAGAGCCAGGACAGGAGGGACAGUCUCAGAACAGGGCCAGGGCAGGAGGGACAGACCCAGAACAGGGCCAGGGCAGGAGGGACAGACCCAGAACAGGCCAGGACAGGGCUGUGGGACUGCAGGGACUGGGCAGGGAGUCACACUCUGGAGUCUGGAGGUGGAAAUGAAGGAGGACAGAGAUCACUGCAUGUUGUGAAACCUUCUUGACACGCCAAGACCUUUGGAAGCUGAGGUGCCCUGAGGGCUGCUGGCUCAGAGCAGGGCUGGCCAAGGGGCCUUCUCUGGAAUCCCUUCUCACAGAGAAAGAGAAACAUUUGCUCAUCUGAUGGUGCACCUGAAACAAAGUUGGAUCAUCUGUUGAUAUUUUUUAGUGCAGAAGCCUCAGCCAUGACUGAAGAACUCAACAUAAAGCCACUGACUGAAGGGAAAAGAGACUCAGACAAAGAAUCUGUAUUAAAUGUGAUCAAAAAUUCUAAUGGACAGUUUAACCUUGAGGCUGCAAUUAAAAAUGUUGACACAAUGUCCAAUGAGUUGAAGAAAAUAAAUGUGGAAAGCCAGCUACUGCUUUGUGACCUGAUUCUGAAUUUCAACCAUCCUGGGAAGGCCAAAGAUUUAAGAGAAGCUGAAGAAAAGGCUUGGAGUUUGACAGAUUAAGUAACAUUCAUUUUCAUGUAUUUCUAUUAAUACUGCUGAAGCUGCUGGUACUUCUUCUUUCUUCUUCAUCUUGUUUCUUUUAAUUAAGUUUGAACUGUACAAUGCUAGCAUGGUUUCCUGCAGUUAGACUAUUUUUAUUUUAAGCUAAACAUGUGAAAUGGAAAAAAAAAAAAGUAGGUUGUUGGUUCUGAGAAGGGUUUUUCAACCCACAUUUCCCAAAUUAAGCCACUAGGGCUGGAAAGACUGAUGUGAUUAAUCAAAAAGGUCAGGAAACUGGGCAUGAAGAUUUUCACGUGGUUUUCUCCUUUUAAACAAAGAUGUGUUGGAGCAGUAACAAAAUUUGCAAUUUGCUACAAGUCACUGCUCUCUUAUCUCAGUUGUGCUUGGGGAAACAGGAUAAGCAAGUGUCAGUGAAGGAGGAACUGCAAUUUGUGUUUUGAGCUGUCUUCCUCAUCUUAAAAAUAUUGCUGAGGAAUGGGUCAAAGAGCAGAUUACUUCUGGAAAACCAAAAGUACUUUUCAUUCCGCUUUCUGCAAUGACUCUCUAAUGCAAAUAGCUACAAAAAUAGGGAGGAGUUUGUGGUUUCAAUGCUGAAAUCUUGGCCCAGCAUUUGCACAGCCACUAUUUUCAUGUAGUUCAUUGCAAUUAAUAUUCAAUCAUACUUUACUUGUGGUCAUGCUUGAAUGUUGAGAUGUAUUUUUAUUCUUACACCAAAUAUAUUUCUCUGAAUAAUCAAAUAGAGAUUUAUUCUACUUUAAAAAAUAUGCAAUGUUAGAAAUUUUCAUGCUGGUUUAUAUUUUAUUUCUCUUUCACUGGUGAGAUGAUUUAAAAUCAAUAAAACACAAUUCCAUAGGAGGUGUUUCUGUGUUGUCAGAUUUUUCAAGGAAUAGCAUUACAGUUCACAAGAAUUAGUGGUAAUGUGGAGGAGGUAGUUCUUAAUUUUAACAGUUUUUGAAAAAUAUUAGAACUGACUUUUCUUUAACCAGAUUAGUAGUCAAUUUUUAAAAAUAUUGAGCUAGAAGCUGAAGAAUUUUUAAAAUUUUAUUUUUAUCUUUAUUUUUGGACUCAUAGCUG